CUUCAAAAUUCUAGCUUUUGACACAACCAUGCAACCCCCCUCUCCCUCUCGUUUUGUCUUUUUCUUUUUUUGGUGUUUUCUUCAGUUGGUUUGCUGAUUCUUUGACGUUUAUAUUUGGCAAGAGGUGGGAAACUGCCUUCAGACAUUUUACCCCUUCUCUCUCUGUCUCUGUGUCUCUGAUGUGAGAGCCUGUAUACUUACUACAGUGUAAGUUCAGUCUGGGUUUUCUUUGGACAAGAUUAGAACGAAGUGAUAAGUAGAUUUGAGCUUGUAUAUGUGGGACUUCUAUGGUUCUUGUGGAAAUUGUCUGCUGUAUUGUUUCUCCUUUCCAUGAAGAGUACAUAUCGUUUCUGUUGGGGGCUUUAUGGGAAAAUGAAGAUAUAUUUUGCUCUUCUAUGGAUUUUUCAUGUGGGAUUCAACUUUUUCAACUAAUAUUUCGCCACAACAAUUGGGUUGCCGUUUACUAUGUUCGCAGUUGUUUCAGUUUUGAGAGGAAUUCGUUGGACAUGGAAUUACCUUUUAAGCCCUCUUUCUUUAUUUGGCAAAUGGCCUUAUAGUUGUGAUCCUCUGCCUCUAUCAAGAUUAUCUGUUGCAAAGAUGAGGUUCUCUCAUAAUCUAGCAGCACUGCUCACAUUUUCUUCCUACAUGUAUAUGUAACUCUAUUAGUAACAUACUUGUCUAGUGAUGGAAAAUGGCAAUGGUCAUAGGUUUGAGUUUUGGGGCUUUCGACAUAAUUCCUUGCUAUCAGUGCUGUUAUUACAAGUUUUCGGAUAGCAAUGGUUUCAUUCCAUACGUUUUUGUUUACCUCAAUAUUAGCUCUAUCUGAACAUCAUAUAUCAUGUUUAUUUUAAGACAGGGUUGCUCGCCUUUGUUCGUCUUGUUCCAUCCAUGUUCUUGAAGGAAUCUGCUCAGAAUAGGUCCUGAAAUGAUGGUUUCUUACGAGUCUCAUAGCAAUGGGAAUCUGAUUGAUCCAGGCCUACAGAUUAUCAGGCAUCCAUCAUACCAAUCGUCUGGCAGGUUUUCUUUACCUUGGUUUGAUAUACGGGUGUUCUAUGUGAGGAUCAGUAAUUUCAUGGUAGAUGAUUCGACCCCAGAAUAUCUCACCCUGAACAACAUCCCUCUGAGCCCAGAUACAGUUCUUGAAGUGAAUGGAGUGAGAUGCUCCAUGGAUUCAGAAGGAAUCUCGUGCAUUCUUAGAAGGGACCGGGUGGAUAAGAAGUCCGAAGAAUCUACAUUUGUCAGCACGGAUAGCAUAAGGUUAACAGACAGCGUGAAAUUUGAGGUGUUCCAUCAACAGGAUCUUGUGAUCUCUGGGGUUCUAGAAAUGUUAGGUGCCAAUGGUUUUGUAGGGGAAUCAAAUAAUGUAGGCAAGAAGUGGAGCAUGAAUUGUGAAUCCGUAACCAGCGCUGGUGUGGGAUUCUUGAAAGGAAAACAAGUAAUGGGUUCUGAAUCAUUGUCACCUACAAUUGAAGUUUAUGUGGCUGGUUGCUUCUCAGGGACUCCCAUCAUAUUAACCAAGACGUUACAGCUUAGCCCCCGCAAGAAGCAUAGGAAGGCUAUGCUGGGUUCAAUUCCAGAGUAUGAUGCUUCUGAAUCCCAUCAAGAUGCUGCAUCUGGGCAUGAUUUUCAGUUUCUGAGCUAUGUUUAGAAAUCCAUCAUCAUCCGGUCUCUACUAAAUGCAUUGUAGUUUAAGGCUAAACCUCUAUAUUGAAUAAUGUUGAGUCAUUUCACACAUUUGAGAUUGAACUGGUAGAUCAUGGAAAUCUCUUAACUACUAAGUUAUUGCUGAUUGCAUGACCGGCCGCUUGCAUUGAAGUCCACCUCCUUAAAUGAAAAGAAAAUGACUAGGUGUAAGAAAACGAAGAACGGGAUCAAAUGAAGUUUGUUCUUGUCAUCUGUUGUUUUCUUCAAACUAGUGUUAGUUCUUAGACCAAGUUGGAAAAUGUUACUGCUGUUAGUGACUAAUCACUUUUGAAACUAUCGGAAUAAUUCUCAGUUUCCUACAUCCUGGAACAACGCACAAGUAUUAGAUUGAGUAAUCGAUUCAAGGUUUACCCUUAUCCUUGUAUGGAUGUUGACUGCUUCCCGUGAUGAAACAUGCUUCUUCCCAACAAAAGGCCCAUUUCCAUUGAUCUUAGGCACAACCAACACAGAAUCUUAUCUUUGACAUGUCAAGGGGUAUGGGCAGGCACAAAUAUUGAAGAGAUAAGAAAACUAGGUAGGUAGUCUUGAAUUGUGGGGCCCACUACAACACUUUGGCAUUUGUAUGCAAGAUCUCGGACCAUAAGCUAUCUUCUUUAUAGGUUGUGACCGUAACUCAGCUUUCUUGAAGAAUUUCAUGGAAUAUACACGUGUUCCUAACUCUAUCUUAUCAGACCCGAGGCCUUUUCUUGUUUGGAAUUCAGAAAGUCUGAUUUAUGUCAUGGAGAAAAAAACAAGAUAUAUCUGCAGUUUAUGACCCAAAUUCAGUGAUGCUGAUUCUGUAACCUUCUGCGAAGAUAUUUAACUUGAUUAUACCAUUCUUGAUUCUUGUUUGCAUCUUUUGAAAUGGUAAAUGAAUGUUUCUGGAGCCACAUAUUGUGAUGGAUUACGUUGUUCCUUAUUGAUAUUAGUAAAUCUCAUGUUUCAUCGGAAAUGUGCGCAUCUAAAGGGAGA